rnacentral:guide_RNA from 1 species
ACCGAAGGGGAUUAGUUCCCCGAAGCUCGUAUAUGGCAGUGU